GAGUUUGAUCAUGGCUCAGAUUGAACGCUGGCGGCAUGCCUUACACAUGCAAGUCGAACGGCAGCACGGGAGCAAUCCUGGUGGCGAGUGGCGAACGGGUGAGUAAUAUAUCGGAACGUGCCCAGUCGUGGGGGAUAACGCAGCGAAAGCUGUGCUAAUACCGCAUACGAUCUAUGGAUGAAAGCGGGGGAUCGCAAGACCUCGCGCGAUUGGAGCGGCCGAUAUCAGAUUAGGUAGUUGGUGGGGUAAAGGCUCACCAAGCCGACGAUCUGUAGCUGGUCUGAGAGGACGACCAGCCACACUGGAACUGAGACACGGUCCAGACUCCUACGGGAGGCAGCAGUGGGAAUUUGGACAAGUGGGCGCAAGCCUGAUCCAGCAAUGCCGCGUGCAGGA
rnacentral:rRNA from 1 species